rnacentral:rRNA from 1 species
AUCAACUUUCGAUGGUAGGAUAGAGGCCUACCAUGGUGGUAACGGGUAACGGGGUGUUAGGGCACGACACCGGAGAGGGAGCCUGAGAAACGGCUACCACAUCCAAGGAUGGCAGCAGGCGCGCAAAUUACCCAAUCCCGACACGGGGAGGUAGUGACAAUAAAUAACAAUACGGGGUUCUUUCGAAUUUCGUAAUUGGAAUGAGUACAAUUUAAAUCUCUUAACGAGGAACAAUUGGAGGGCAAGUCUGGUGCCAGCAGCCGCGGUAAUUCCAGCUCCAAUAGCGUAUAUUAAAGUUGCUGCAGUUAAAAAGCUCGUAGUUGAAUUUCGGGACCAAUAUGUCGGUCGUGCCUCGGUACGUACUGGCAUCGUUGGUUUCUCCCUUCUGACGAACCAUGAUGUCAUUUAUUUGGUGUCGUGGGGAAUCAGGACUGUUACUUUGAAAAAAUUAGAGUGUUUAAAGCAGGCUCACGCUUGAAUACAUUAGCAUGGAAUAAUGAAAUAGGACGUUUGAUUCUAUUUUGUUGGUUUCUAGGAUCGACGUAAUGAUUAAUAGGGAUAGUUGGGGGCAUUAGUAUUCAAUUGUCAGAGGUGAAAUUCUUGGAUUUAUUGAAGACUAACUACUGCGAAAGCAUUUGCCAAGGAUGUUUUCAUUAAUCAAGAACGAAAGUUAGGGGAUCGAAGACGAUCAGAUACCGUCGUAGUCUUAACCAUAAACUAUGCCGACCAGGGAUCGGAUGAUGUUAAUUUUUUAAUGACUCAUUCGGCGCCUUACGGGAAACCAAAGUGUUUGGGUUC